GAUUGACACUUCCUCUGUUUUCUAUUUCUCUUCGGCCUUUUCCCAUACUAGACUCCUUCACCAAAUUUAGGGUUAGCAUAUUUUGUAGCAAAAGUUACAUGGCUGACCGGAACAAUUCAUCGGCGAUUACGGUCACGGCAGCGGUGAAACCUAUAUGGGCAAAGCAAGCAGAGGAAGCGAAGCUUAAGAGCGAAGCAGAGAAAGAUGCGGCUGCGAAAGCAGCUUUCGAAGCCACUUUUAAGAAUGUCGAAGCUUCAGCCACCGCGGCCGCCGCCGCAUCCGACAGCGAUUUAGACGAUGAGGAAUAUGAGCAGAAGAGGCUUGCCGAGAAGCCGAUCGGCCCGGUUGACCCUACAAAAUGUACGGCAGCCGGUACUGGAAUCGCCGGUGGAACAGCGUGUGCUCCGUCAACUUUCACUGUUGUGACGAAGGAUUCCGACGGUCGUAAGGUUCCGCAUGGUGGGUCCCAGGUUAAGAUUAGGGUUUCACCCGGUGUUGGAGUUGGAGGAUCAGAUUUGGAAGGGAUUGUGAAGGAUAUGGGUGAUGGGACAUACACAGUAAGUUAUAUUGUUCAGAAGAGAGGAAAUUAUAUGGUGAAUGUAGAAUGUAAUGGGAAGCCUAUUAUGGGUAGUCCUUUCCCUGUUUUCUUCAGCACAGGCAGUACGACUGGCGGGCUAUUGGGUAUAGCACCGUCAGCCACAUUUCCAAAUAUGGUCAACCAGAACAUGCCUAAUAUGCCAAACUAUUCUGGUUCUGUAUCCGGGGCAGUCCCAGGAUUGCUCGGGAUGAUACCAGGUAUUGUUCCUGGAGCUUCUGGAGGCGUAGUUUUACCUGGAAUUGGGGCAUCUAUUGGGGAAGUUUGCCGAGAAUACCUUUACGGACGUUGUGCAAAAACUGAUUGCAAAUUCAAUCAUCCCCCUCACAAUCUUCUAAUGACUGCUCUAGCUGCGACCACCAGUAUGGGAACGCUUAGUCAAGUGCCCAUGGCACCUUCUGCGGCUGCUAUGGCUGCUGCUCAGGCAAUUGUUGCUGCACAAGCUCUUCAAGCUCAUGCUGCUCAGGCACAAGCACAGUCUGGAAAAGAUUCCUCUGGUGACAAAGAUGGAAAGGCCGAAUCCCUUAAAAGAACUGUGCAAGUCAGCAAUCUCAGCCCACUUCUGACAGUGGAUCAGUUGAAACAGCUGUUUGGUUUCUGUGGUGCAAUCAUUGAUUGUAGCAUUACUGAAUCCAAACAUUUUGCUUACAUCGAAUACUCAAAACCUGAAGAAGCAACAGCUGCUUUAGCAUUGAACAAUAUAGAAGUUGGUGGUCGCCCCUUAAAUGUUGAAAUGGCAAAACAACUUCCUCCAAAGGCAGCUGUCUUAAAUUCAUCAAUGGGUUCUUCUUCUUUGCCCUUAAUGAUGCAGCAAGCUGUAGCAAUGCAGCAGAUGCAGUUCCAACAAGCCCUAUUAAUGCAGCAAGCUAUGACAGAACAACAAGCGGCUAAUCGAGCUGCAACCAUGAAAACUGCUACAGAUUUGGCUGCCGCAAGAGCUGCAGAAAUAAGCAAGAUGUUGAAAGCGAAUGGUCUGGUUUCUGAAGAGAAGGAAACUGAUGACAGGGCUAAGUCACCUUCUCCCAGUCGUGCUAGGUCAAGAUCCAGGUCGCCAUCCAAAUCACGAUCCAGAUCAAGAUCUCCAAUAAGUUAUAGGCGAAGGCGGAGAUCCCAUUCUUUCUCUCCUCUGCCACGGAGAUCAAGAGAUUAUAGAUCCAGGUCACCUGUGAGACCCCGGCGUUAUUCAGGCUACGAAGAUGAAAGGCGUCCAUAUAGGGAUGUUAGACAUGCUAAUGAAAGAAGUCGAAGACGGGAUUUUGUUAGAUUCUAUGAUCGUCGUUCUCCUGUUUCAAGGAGAAACAGAAGUAGAAGCACAAGUCCACGAACUAGAAAAUCUUACCGUGACGAUUCAGGCUCACCAAAACACCGCCGAGAAAGUCCAGCACUUAAGACAAGUAGAGCUUCUCGCCAUGAGUCACUAUCGCCUGAACAUAGACGAAAAAGUAGGUCAUCCCCAAAAGAUGGCGAAAGAAAAUCAAAAUAUAGCAGGCGAUCAAGAUCAAAGUCUGCUGAAGUUAGGGACCAGUCUGAUGAUAAGCUAGAAGGAAGUAGGGGUGAGAAAGCCAGGCAGAAGGAUCAGGGAAGGUCAGCAUCACCACUGGUUGUUGAGGUUGCACAGAAGAAAAUGUCACCGGAAGUUGUGGAAGAAAGCAAGUCAAAGCACAGAAGAGCCUCCAGGUCCAGAUCUCCAGAAGAGAAGCAUCAUUCUAGCAGAAGCAGAGAAGAGAAAAGAAAGCAUCAUGCUAGAAGACGCUCCAGGUCAAGGUCCAAAUCUCCUGAAGAGAAAGAUCACUCAAGUGAUAAAUUAGACAAAAAUAAAGGAGAUAAACCAAAGCAUCGAAAUAGAAGGCACUCAAAGUCAAGGUCCAGAUCUCCUGAAGAAAAACAUCAUUCAAGUGCUAAAUCAGAAAGAAGCAGAAAAGAGAAAUCAAAGAAUCGAAGUAAAAAACGCUCCAGGUCAAGAUCUGUCGAUGAUAAGCAGCACCGAAGUAAACUGUCAGCAAGCCGUUCUGAUAGCCGACGAUCAAAGCACAGGGCACGUUCUAGAUCAAACUCUUCUGAAAGUAGGCAUGGAUCAGGUCAAGAUGAAACCAUAAAGGAUGAAGUGAGUGGUCAUAGAGGUCACCGGAGAAGCUCCAGGCAGGAAGACAAUAAUCAUGGAACAACUGAGGUUAGCUUGACGGAAGAAGAUCCUGCUAAGGGAAUAAAACAUGAGAAGUUUUGAGGAAGCAUGGUGCCCUGGAAGAUUGUGAUUCCAACAUAGAUUGACCUGAUGAUCAAGAAAGAUCUGUUAGACUGAAUUAAUUGCAGUUUGUAUGAUGAAAACGCCUAUUUUUUCUUCUUUUGCAGGUCCUUCAUGGAACAUAACCAGAAAGUGAAGUAGCAUUAGUUGAAAGGUUGAAUAUCAAGUUUGCGCCAUCUUGGAUCAACUGUGCUGAGUUUCUUGUGAACUACUUUUUGAGCUCAUGUUAUGGGACUGGUUCUUGUUGGCGCUUUAUCAAUUGAAUGGGCAAAGUUAUAUCUGAUUGUAUUUGAAGGCAGGCUGCUAUUAAGGUUAAUGCAACCAGAUGUUGCUGAGAUGAUAGUGCAUGAUGCUCCCUGAAUCGAGCAUGAAAUACUCAUAUCUGUUCUUUACUUGAUGGAACUCAAUUGUUGUUCCAUAACAGGUAAAAUCUUGUUGAAUUCAUUAGCUUCUGGUUUUUAUCCUUGCAAACGGAGUAAUGGAGGACAUGAUGGUUAUUACUCAACGCUCUAGUUCACACACUAUUUAAGUAGCCAAAAUUGUCUAACUGAUUAACAGGUGGUUUAUCUGGCCUCUUGCUUGUAUUUUAUUUGGCUAGUGUCCUUCCGGGGUGACACUAAUUAAAGUAAUUGGAACCUCUUGCAGUUACUUCAAAUACUAGGAAGAAGAUUCUACUUAAGAAAAACAGUAGGCAUUAAGAAAAUAGAAGAGCUAUUAAGCCAUUUAUUUGGGAGGAAGCUAUCUAUGAAGCCCACGUUUGCACUGUAUGCUGACACUUGUUUGUAGCAUGCUAUGACAUGUAGAAGCUACAUAUGCUGUAUGAAAUAACCUAAUCUGAGGAAUUCCCUGAUCUGUAUCAUGUAUCUGAUUGUGGAAAUUCUCGUGUUACCCUUAUACUUUAUAUUGACUCCUAUGCUUUCGUGGUGGCUACCUUAUUGUCUUCUGAAGGCAUUCUUUGUUAACUGUCUGAAGAAUCACUGCCCAUGUUUUUCUCUUCUUUUUUUUUUUUGGGUUUUCCGUUUUGUUUUUCUAGGUGGUGCUGGAUGUAUGGGACUGAGCUGUAUCCUGUUGUCAAUAUAGAUGUGGUUGAUGUCACACCUCUAAUCUCCUUCCCUUUCCCUCUUCCCUUUUGAUUUACAUUCACUUUUACCCUUCCCCAUCUUUCAUCUCUGCUUCUCUCCCUUGCUUUCCUCUUUUUGUUUUUUGGGGUGGCUGGAGCCUUGGAGGUUCUAUAAGGAUUAGUAUGACUAGCAAAAAGGCACAAGCAGCAAGGCGAGGAAACGUUAAUUUUGGCUGGUGAUUCGACAAUGUAUUUUUGCUAUGAUGCUUUUGUUUGGACAAGGAUUAUAGCUUAGAGUAGACACUUUGUGUAGGCGUGUAUGGGCCAUCUAUGAAAUAAAAAUCAGCAAAUAUCUUUUGGUAGUCUUCUUCCUUUUGCAGGUUAAAGUUUCAAUCCACCCACGUAAUACUUAUAAACCUUUUUUCCUGUCAAUUCUUCACUAGUGGUCUAUCCUUUGGUGAAAAAUGGUGUUGGCUGAUACCAUUUUCACUCCCUGAUAUCAGAUUAUUCUAUAGGGUAACCUGAUUCUUAAAGAUAUUUGUAUCUUAUGAACUGAUUAAAUGAUCUCCAGAAGCAACUAUGCUUUGUUUUGAGGUGUCUAUGUACUGAUGUUUGGUGUGGUUUAGUGGCGCUGUUUGACUAACAUCCUGUUCUAUUUGCUAUAUGAUCUGUGCUAGCUCACUGAGAAUGCACAUUCCAAAAUUGUAUCUUGUGCAUUAGUAUCCGUUAUAUUUAUGGAUGGCACAUGGAUUUUUUCUUUAACCAACUGUUCAUUGCGGAUUUGAGCUGUUUACAACGAGGAAUCUAUUCAUUUUGUUUAGUUUUU